rnacentral:rRNA from 1 species
GACGAACGCUGGCGGCGUGCUUAACACAUGCAAGUCGAACGGAAAGGCCCUGCUUUUGUGGGGUGCUCGAGUGGCGAACGGGUGAGUAACACGUGAGUAACCUGCCCUUGACUUUGGGAUAACUUCAGGAAACUGGGGCUAAUACCGGAUAGGAGCUCCUGCUGCAUGGUGGGGGUUGGAACGUUUCGGCGGGUGGGGAUGGACUCGCGGCUUAUCAGCUUGUUGGUGGGGUAGUGGCUUACCAAGGCUUUGACGGGUAGCCGGCCUGGGAGGGUGACCGGCCAAAUGGGGCCUGAGAUAGGGCCCAGACUCCUACGGGAGGCAGAAGUGGGGAAUAUUGAACAAUGGGCCGAAGCCUGAGGAAGCAACGCCGCGGGCGGGAUGACGGCCUUCGGGUUGAAAACCGCUUUAGCCUGUGACGAAGCGUGAGUGACGGUAAUGGGUAAAGAAGCACCGGCUAACUACGUG